rnacentral:rRNA from 1 species
UGGGGAAUAUUGCACAAUGGAGGAAACUCUGAUGCAGCGACGCCGCGUGAGGGAAGAAGGUCUUCGGAUUGUAAACCUCUGUUGUCAGGGACGAUAAUGACGGUACCUGACGAGGAAGCCACGGCUAACUACGUGCCAGCAGCCGCGGUAAAACGUAGGUGGCAAGCGUUGUCCGGAAUUACUGGGUGUAAAGGGAGCGCAGGCGGAUUUGCAAGUUGGAAGUGAAACUCAUGGGCUCAACCCAUGAACUGCUUUCAAAACUGCAGAUCUUGAGUGGUGUAGAGGUAGGCGGAAUUCCCGGUGUAGCGGUGGAAUGCGUAG